rnacentral:rRNA from 1 species
GAUGAACGCUGGCGGCGUGCCUAAUACAUGCAAGUCGAGCGAACGGACGAGAAGCUUGCUUCUCUGAUGUUAGCGGCGGACGGGUGAGUAACACGUGGAUAACCUACCUAUAAGACUGGGAUAACUUCGGGAAACCGGAGCUAAUACCGGAUAAUAUUUUGAACCGCAUGGUUCAAAAGUGAAAGACGGUCUUGCUGUCACUUAUAGAUGGAUCCGCGCUGCAUUAGCUAGUUGGUAAGGUAACGGCUUACCAAGGCAACGAUGCAUAGCCGACCUGAGAGGGUGAUUGGCCACACUGGAACUGAGACACGGUCCAGACUCCUACGGGAGGCAGCAGUAGGGAAUCUUCCGCAAUGGGCGAAAGCCUGACGGAGCAACGCCGCGUGAGUGAUGAAGGUCUUCGGAUCGUAAAACUCUGUUAUUAGGGAAGAACAUAUGUGUAAGUAACUGUGCACAUCUUGACGGUACCUAAUCAGAAAGCCACGGCUAACUACGUGCCAGCAGCCGCGGUAAUACGUAGGUGGCAAGCGUUAUCCGGAAUUAUUGGGCGUAAAGCGCGCGUAGGCGGUUUUUUAAGUCUGAUGUGAAAGCCCACGGCUCAACCGUGGAGGGUCAUUGGAAACUGGAAAACUUGAGUGCAGAAGAGGAAAGUGGAAUUCCAUGUGUAGCGGUGAAAUGCGCAGAGAUAUGGAGGAACACCAGUGGCGAAGGCGACUUUCUGGUCUGUAACUGACGCUGAUGUGCGAAAGCGUGGGGAUCAAACAGGAUUAGAUACCCUGGUAGUCCACGCCGUAAACGAUGAGUGCUAAGUGUUAGGGGGUUUCCGCCCCUUAGUGCUGCAGCUAACGCAUUAAGCACUCCGCCUGGGGAGUACGACCGCAAGGUUGAAACUCAAAGGAAUUGACGGGGACCCGCACAAGCGGUGGAGCAUGUGGUUUAAUUCGAAGCAACGCGAAGAACCUUACCAAAUCUUGACAUCCUUUGACAACUCUAGAGAUAGAGCCUUCCCCUUCGGGGGACAAAGUGACAGGCGGUGCAUGGUUGUCGUCAGCUCGUGUCGUGAGAUGUUGGGUUAAGUCCCGCAACGAGCGCAACCCUUAAGCUUAGUUGCCAUCAUUAAGUUGGGCACUCUAAGUUGACUGCCGGUGACAAACCGGAGGAAGGUGGGGAUGACGUCAAAUCAUCAUGCCCCUUAUGAUUUGGGCUACACACGUGCUACAAUGGACAAUACAAAGGGCAGCGAAACCGCGAGGUCAAGCAAAUCCCAUAAAGUUGUUCUCAGUUCGGAUUGUAGUCUGCAACUCGACUACAUGAAGCUGGAAUCGCUAGUAAUCGUAGAUCAGCAUGCUACGGUGAAUACGUUCCCGGGUCU